UACGAAGGGGGCUAGCGUUGCUCGGAAUCACUGGGCGUAAAGGGCGCGUAGGCGGCCAUUCAAGUCAGAGGUGAAAGCCCAGGGCUUAACCCUGGAAUUGCCUUUGAUACUGUUUGGCUUGAGACCGGAAGAGGUAAGUGGAACUGCGAGUGUAGAGGUGAAAUUCGUAGAUAUUCGCAAGAACACCAGUGGCGAAGGCGGCUUACUGGUCCGGUUCUGACGCUGAGGCGCGAAAGCGUGGGGAGCAAACAGG
rnacentral:rRNA from 1 species